ACGGGUGAGUAACGCGUAGGAAUCUGCCCUAAAGAGGGGGACAACCCGAGGAAACUCGGGCUAAUACCGCAUAAUCUCGAGAGAGAAAAGCUGGGGCAACCUGGCACUUUAGGAGGAGCCUGCGUCCGAUUAGCUAGUUGGUAGGGUAAAAGCCUACCAAGGCGACGAUCGGUAGCUGGUCUGAGAGGAUGAUCAGCCACACUGGGACUGAGACACGGCCCAGACUCCUACGGGAGGCAGCAGUGGGGAAUAUUGGACAAUGGGGGCAACCCUGAUCCAGCAAUGCCGCGUGUGUGAAGAAGGCCUUCGGGUUGUAAAGCACUUUAGUUGGGGAAGAAGGCAUGUAGUUUAAGAGAUGACAUGUUUGACGGUACCCAAAGAAUAAGCACCGGCUAACUCUGUGCCAGCAGCCGCGGUAAUACAGAGGGUGCAAGCGUUAAUCGGAUUUACUGGGCGUAAAGGGCGCGUAGGCGGUUAUUUAAGUUUGAUGUGAAAGCCCUGGGCUUAACCUAGGAACUGCAUUGAAAACUGGGUAACUGGAGUACUGUAGAGGGUAGUGGAAUUUCCGGUGUAGCG
rnacentral:rRNA from 1 species